rnacentral:rRNA from 1 species
CAGCAGCCGCGGUAAUACGUAGGUCCCGAGCGUUGUCCGGAUUUAUUGGGCGUAAAGGGAGCGCAGGCGGUUUAGUAAGUCUGGAGUUAAAGGCAUUGGCUCAACCAAUGUAUGCUUUGGAAACUGUUUGACUUGAGUGCAGAAGGGGAGAGUGGAAUUCCAUGUGUAGCGGAGAAAUGCGUAGAUAUAUGGAGGAACACCGGUGGCGAAAGCGGCUCUCUGGCUUGUAACUGACGCUGAGGCUCGGAAGCGUGGGGAGCAAACAGGAUUAGAUACCCGCGUAGUCCCUGUCUCUUAUACA